GACGAACGCUGGCGGCGUGCCUAACACAUGCAAGUCGAGCGGCGCGGCGAACGGGUGAGUAACGCGUGAGUAACUGCCCCCCUCUCUGGGAUAACAGUUGGAAACGGCUACUAAUACCGGAUAGUGGGGGCUGACUCGCGGCCUAUAAGCUUGUUGGUGGGGUGGUGGCCUACCAAGGCGACGACGGGUAGCCGACCGUGGCGGGCGAACGCCCCCAUUGUGCUGAGAGACGGCGCAAACGCCAACGUGAGGCAGCAGUGGGGAAUAUUGCACAGUGAGGGAGACCCUGUUGCGGCAACGCGCGUUCGUGAUGACGUCCUUCUGGUGAUAAACCGCGUUCAGCCAUGACGCGGUAGUGGCAGAAGAAGCACCGGCUAACUACGUGCCAGCAGCCGCGGUAAUUC
rnacentral:rRNA from 1 species